AGAGUUUGAUCCUGGCUCAGGACGAACGCUGGCGGCGUGGAUUAGUCAUGCAAGUCGAACGGUAGGAACCUUUCGGGGUUCUGAGAGUGGCGAACGGGUGAGUAACACGUAGGUAAUCUACCCUCGAAUCGGGGACAACCCAGGGAAACUUGGGCUAAUACCGGAUGAGUGCGCUUUUGGGUGCAUAAAAGGUGGCGUAAGCUGCUGUUUGGGGAUGAGCCUGCGCUCUAUUAGUUAGUUGGUGAGGUAACGGCUCACCAAGGCGAUGAUAGAUAGGCGGCCUUAACGGGUGGUCGCCCACACUGGGAUUGAGAUACGGCCCAGACUCCUACGGGAGGCAGCAGUCGAGAAUAGUCUACAAUGGACGAAAGUCUGAUAGUGCGACGCCGCGUGAACGAAGAAGCCCUUCGGGGUGUAAAGUUCUUUUAUAUGUGAGCAAUGGUUUCCAGGUGAAUAGUUUGGAGACAGAGAUAUUAGCAUAUGAAUAAGCAACGGCUAACUCCGUGCCAGCAGCCGCGGUAACACGGGGGUUGCAAGCGUUGUCCGGAAUUACUAGGCGUAAAGGGCAGGUAGGCGGAUAGAUAAGUUUGAUGUUUAAGGCAGCGGCUCACCCGUUGUAGGGCAUCAGAUACUGUUUAUCUGGAAUGCGGUUGGGGAAGACAGAAUUCCUGGUGUAGCGGUGGAAUGCGCAGAGAUCAGGAGGAAUACCGAAGGCGAAGGCAGUCUUCUAAGCCGUAAUUGACGCUAAACUGCGAAGGUGUGGGUAUCAAACAGGAUUAGAUACCCUGGUAGUCCACACAGU
rnacentral:rRNA from 1 species